rnacentral:rRNA from 1 species
GACGAACGCUGGCGGCGUGCUUAACACAUGCAAGUCGAACGGUAAGGCCCUUCGGGGUACACGAGUGGCGAACGGGUGAGUAAAACGUGGGUGAUCUGCCCUGCACUUCGGGAUAAGCCUGGGAAACUGGGUCUAAUACCGGAUAGGACCACUGCCUGCAGGGGAGGUGGUGGAAAGCUUUUGUGGUGUGGGAUGGGCCUGCGGCGUAUCAGGUUGUGGGUGGGGUGUUGGCCUACCAAGGGGACGGCGGGUAGCCGGCCUGAGAGGGGGACCGGCCACACUGGGACUGAGAUACAGCCCAGACUCCUACGGGAGGCAGCAGUGGGGAAUAUUGCACAAUGGGCGCAAGCCUGAUGCAGCGACGCCGCGUGAGGGAUGACGGCCUUCGGGUUGUAAACCUCUUUCAGCACCGACGAAGCGCAAGUGACGGUAGGUGCAGAAGAAGGACCGGCCAACUACGUGCCAGCCGCCGCCGUAA